rnacentral:rRNA from 1 species
UGCGUAGGCGGCUUGGUAAGUCACGUGUGAAGGGCCGGGGCUCAACCCCGGAUCUGCAUGUGAGACUGCCUGGCUCGAGCACGGUAGAGGCGGGCGGAAUUCCUGGUGUAGCGGUGGAAUGCGUAGAUAUCAGGAAGAACACCGGUGGCGAAGGCGGCUCGCUGGGCCGUUGCUGACGCUGAGGCACGAAAGCGUGGGGAGCAAACAGGAUUAGAUACCCUGGUAGUCCACGCCCUAAACGAUGGACACUAGGCGUCGGGGGGAGCGACCCUCCCGGUGCCGUCGCUAACGCAAUAAGUGUCCCGCCUGGGGAGUACGGCCGCAAGGCUGAA